AAAUACCUUGCUCCUACAAGAGUAAAGUGCACGCGCUUUGGGACAGUGAGGAAAAUAAUGUUCACAAAGCCCAUACACUUUCACCCUUUAGGAGAGUUG
ensembl:miRNA microRNA 350